CAGCCGCGUAAUUCCAGCUCCAAUAGCGUAUAUUAAAGUUGUUGUGGUUAAAAAGCUCGUAGUUGAACCUUGGGCCUGGCUGGCCGGUCCGCCUCACCGCGUGUACUGGUCCGGCCGGGCCUUUCCCUCUGUGGAACCCCAUGCCCUUCACUGGGUGUGGCGGGGAAACAGGACUUUUACUGUGAAAAAAUUAGAGUGCUCCAGGCAGGCCUAUGCUCGAAUACAUUAGCAUGGAAUAAUAGAAUAGGACGUGUGGUUCUAUUUUGUUGGUUUCUAGGACCGCCGUAAUGAUUAAUAGGGACAGUCGGGGGCAUCAGUAUUCAAUUGUCAGAGGUGAAAUUCUUGGAUUUAUUGAAGACUAACUACUGCGAAAGCAUUUGCCAAGGAUGUUUUCAUUAAUCAGGAACGAAAGUUAGGGGAUCGAAGACGAUCAGAUACCGUCGUAGUCUUAACCAUAAACUAUGCCGACUAGGGAUCGGACGGUGUUAUUUUUUGACCCGUUCGGCACCUUACG
rnacentral:misc_RNA from 1 species